rnacentral:rRNA from 1 species
GAUGAACGCUGGCGGCAUGCCUAAUACAUGCAAGUCGAGCGAACAGACGAGGAGCUUGCUCCUCUGACGUUAGCGGCGGACGGGUGAGUAACACGUGGAUAACCUACCUAUAAGACUGGGAUAACUUCGGGAAACCGGAGCUAAUACCGGAUAACAUGUUGAACCGCAUGGUUUAACAGUGAAAGACGGUCUUGCUGUCACUUAUAGAUGGAUCCGCGCCGCAUUAGCUAGUUGGUAAGGUAACGGCUUACCAAGGCAACGAUGCGUAGCCGACCUGAGAGGGUGAUCGGCCACACUGGAACUGAGACACGGUCCAGACUCCUACGGGAGGCAGCAGUAGGGAAUCUUCCGCAAUGGGCGAAAGCCUGACGGAGCAACGCCGCGUGAGUGAAGAAGGUCUUCGGAUCGUAAAACUCUGUUAUUAGGGAAGAACAAAUGUGUAAGUAACUAUGCACGUCUUGACGGUACCUAAUCAGAAAGCCACGGCUAACUACGUG